UGUUGUGAUUCCACCUGAAUAUAACUCAGC
rnacentral:piRNA from 1 species